rnacentral:rRNA from 1 species
UAGACCGAUAGCGAACAAGUAGAGUGAUCGAAAGAUGAAAAGCACUUUGAAAAGAGAGUUAAACAGUAUGUGAAAUUGUUGAAAGGGAAGCGCUGGCAACCAGACUCGUGCGCGGGGUUCCCCCUUGCUUCUGCUUGGGUUACUUCCCCGUGUCCGGGCCAUCAUCAGUUUUAGGGGCCGGUUAAAGGCCCUGGGAAUGUACCUACUCCUUCGGGGGUAGACUUAUAGCCCAGGGUGUCAUGCGGCCACCCGGGACUGAGGAACGCGCUUCGGCGAGGAUGAUGGCGUAAUGGUUGUCAGCGACCCGUCUUGAAACACGGACCAAGA